AAUACUGCAGUUCGUAAACCUCCUGCAUAAAAAAACUAGGUACCU
rnacentral:ncRNA from 1 species